UACGUAGGGGUCUAGCGUUGUCCGGAAUUAUUGGGCGUAAAGAGCUCGUAGGCGGCUUGGUAAGUCAGGUGUGAAAUCUCCACGCUCAACGUGGAGGGGCCACCCGAAACUGCCAUGGCUUGAGUCCGGUAGGGGAGUGUGGAAUUCCCGGUGUAGCGGUGAAAUGCGCAGAUAUCGGGAGGAACACCCGUAGCGAAGGCGGCACUCUGGGCCGGUACUGACGCUGAGGAGCGAAAGCGUGGGGAGCAAACAGG
rnacentral:rRNA from 1 species